AAGUAAGAAGUAAAUUUUACACUUAGUUUCGACCUAAUUUUUGGUUAAAUUAAUUUUAACCCUUACUUA
rnacentral:tRNA from 1 species